rnacentral:rRNA from 1 species
UGCAAGUCGAGCGGCAGCGGGAAAGUAGCUUGCUACUUUUGCCGGCGAGCGGCGGACGGGUGAGUAAUGCCUGGGGAUCUGCCCAGUCGAGGGGGAUAACUACUGGAAACGGUAGCUAAUACCGCAUACGCCCUACGGGGGAAAGCAGGGGACCUUCGGGCCUUGCGCGAUUGGAUGAACCCAGGUGGGAUUAGCUAGUUGGUGAGGUAAUGGCUCACCAAGGCGACGAUCCCUAGCUGGUCUGAGAGGAUGAUCAGCCACACUGGAACUGAGACACGGUCCAGACUCCUACGGGAGGCAGCAGUGGGGAAUAUUGCACAAUGGGGGAAACCCUGAUGCAGCCAUGCCGCGUGUGUGAAGAAGGCCUUCGGGUUGUAAAGCACUUUCAGCGAGGAGGAAAGGUUGGUAGCUAAUAACUGCCAGCUGUGACGUUACUCGCAGAAGAAGCACCGGCUAACUCCGUGCCAGC